rnacentral:rRNA from 1 species
AUUGAACGCUGGCGGCAGGCCUAACACAUGCAAGUCGAGCGGCAGCGGAAAGUAGCUUGCUACUUUGCCGGCGAGCGGCGGACGGGUGAGUAAUGUCUGGGAAACUGCCUGAUGGAGGGGGAUAACUACUGGAAACGGUAGCUAAUACCGCAUAACGUCGCAAGACCAAAGAGGGGGACCUUCGGGCCUCUUGCCAUCAGAUGUGCCCUGAUGGGAUUAGCUAGUAGGUGGGGUAACGGCUCACCUAGGCGACGAUCCCUAGCUGGUCUGAGAGGAUGACCAGCCACACUGGAACUGAGACACGGUCCAGACUCCUACGGGAGGCAGCAGUGGGGAAUAUUGCACAAUGGGCGCAAGCCUGAUGCAGCCAUGCCGCGUGUAUGAAGAAGGCCUUCGGGUUGUAAAGUACUUUCAGCGGGGAGGAGGGUGUUGAGGUUAAUAACCUCAGCAAUUGACGUUACCCGCAGAAGAAGCACCGGCUAACUCCGUGCCAGCAGCCGCCGUAAUAC